GAGAGAGCAAUAUGAAUUCAUGGUU
rnacentral:piRNA from 1 species